GGGUCGGUGGCGUAGUUGGUUAUCGCAUCUGUCUAACAUGGCCCAGGUUGGAACCUGGUCACGUGCACAGAAGGUCCUCAGUUCGAUCCUGGGCCAACUCA